CGCGGCAUAGCUCAACGGAUAGAGCCCCCGAUUUCUACACCGCUUGGUGGUUGGGGAGAUGCAGGUUCGAAUCCUGCUGCCGCUC
rnacentral:tRNA from 1 species